rnacentral:rRNA from 1 species
CCUACGGGAGGCAGCAGUGAGGAAUAUUUGUCAAUGGACGAGAGCCUGAACCAGCCAAGUAGCGUGAAGGAUGACUGCCCUACGGGUUGUAAACUUCUUUUAUAUGGGAAUAAAAUGUUCCACGUGUGGGAUUUUGUAUGUACCAUAUGAAUAAGGAUCGGCUAACUCCGUGCCAGCAGCCGCGGUAAUACGGAGGUUCCGAGCGUUAUCGGGAUUUAUUGGGUUUAAAGGGAGCGUAGGUGGAUUGUUAAGCCAGUUGUGAAAGUUUGCGGCUCAACCGUAAAAUUGCAGUUGAAACUGGCAGACUUGAGUACAGUAGAGGGUGGCGGAAUUCGUGGUGUAGCGGUGAAAUGCUUAGAUAUCACGAAGAACACCGAUUGCGAAGGCAGCUCACUGGACUGCAACUGACACUGAGGCUCGAAGGUGUGGGUAUCAAACAGGAUUAGAUACCCUUGUAGUC